rnacentral:lncRNA from 1 species
AAAAAGAGGCCCACCGCUCGUUUGCUUCAUCCGAAGAAAGAGGGAGGAAUUUGCCUCGAGCCCCACCCAAAAAUUCAUCCGAGCUACACGCAACCUCCUCUCUUGACGCCGCCGCCUCCUCUUCACUCCGUCAAUUCUCCUCGCGCCGCCACCUCCAUUCUUCAUCUGCCUCCGGGCCUACUCCUAUCCCAUCAUCUUCCUUGUGUCGCCGGCCUCUUCCCCUGUCUCUCCUCGUCGGUCGUCGCUUCAAGUUGUGGAUCUCCUUGCAGCGGUUGCAAUGGUUGGACAAGACGAAGAGGAGCUGUAGCGUCGGGUCUAUACAGCAGCCGGCUGCUCGACACGUCGCGCAAUCACUACACUGUAAGACCCCUCAACACACACACCCACAUGACCGCACCCCACGGUCCUCAUCGACCACGUCGGGAUGUAUUUUGUGAUGCCAUUGUCCAUCCGUUAAGCUAGCAUGUUCUUCUCCUUUCCAUAUGUAUUGUUGUUGUUCUUACUGCUCAUAUAUGUUUUUUAGCAGGUUGUUGUUAGCUGGGUUCCAGGUUGUUGAAAUUUGGAGGUGGGCCUUAGGCCCACUAGAGAAUUUCAGAAAAUCUACAAGGGCCCAUGUAGGUGGUGGCAUGGCAAGGUGGUGGGAGUUUAGUCCCACCCCGCUAGUGGAGGAGAGUUUGGACCCCUUUAUAAGGGUCUCUCUUCCACAUGCUAUUGGAGAGUGAGAAGAGAAGGUGCCCUCGCGCACUCCUCCGUCGCCCGCCGCGGGUUGCGGGUUGCGGGAAUGAGCCGAGCCGAGCUCAUACCUACGCGCUUAUUUUUGCCGGUCAGGAACGGAGAAUACGUAACGGACAAGGCACGAUCCGAGACGUCGGAUCGUGAUCGUUACCCAUGCGAUCGCCUACCCUAGCCGUCACGAAAUCAGAUCACAUCUGCCUCACGCGUUCGUUCCUUGAACUGCUGCUGCCGCCGGCGACUCCGUCCCGUUUACCGCAUACACGGUCGACGGGAGAGCAGGCCUCCGAAACCUCGCCUCUCCGGUUCCUGUACGGGAGAGGGGCGAUUAGGUUUUUGGGGAGCGAUCACGCGACUGCUCGCCUCCGUCCGUCUGCUUCGUUUACGUCCGCGUCGCCCUCGUCAUCGCCAUGUCUUCACCAAGCGAAGCUGAUCGUCUCCGCGAGGAAGCCGAGAAGAAGACGGCAGAGGAUACUGCCUCUGCCGCCGCUGCUGCUGCUACGGCCAACUGGCCGAUUGGAGGGUAUGACUCGUUUAUCCUCUUGUUCGUGUUUAUUCUAGCAGUACUACUUGUUUGCAUAGAUGUAUCCACUAUAUGCGUAGUAUGUGCUAGGUUAGCUCAAGAUCAGUAUGUCAUUAGUCUAGUCAAUGCCAUGCUAGUUAUUGUUUUGUGGAUUAAUCUACUCGGAAAAUUGCCUAUUUACUCAACAAUCCAAAAACCUAAUGUCUGUAGGAAUUUUUCGAGUAAUGGUUUUGCUGCUGCACUGAAACCGGAUAAGUUUACCGGUACUUUUUUCAAGCGUUGGCAAACGAGAACCACCUUAUGGCUCACGGCUAUGAACGUGUUCUGGGUAGCCGGUGUCACUCCUACGGAAACUAUCACUCCUGAACAGGAGAAGAUGUUUAAGGAGGCCACCGUCCUAUUCCUUGGAGCAGUCAUUAGCGUGAUCGGAGAUAAGCUGGUUGAUGCAUAUUUACAUAUGCAUGUUGCCAAGGACUUGUGGGAGGCGCUCGAAUCUAAAUUCGGGGCCACCGAUGCUGGGAGUGAGAUGUAUGUUAUGGAGCAGUUCCACGAUUACAAGAUGGUUGACAACCGUUCUGUAUUGGAGCAAGCUCAUGAGAUAAUAUGCAUAGCUAAGGAACUUGAGGUUCUUAAGUGCAAUUUGCCGGGCAAGUUUGUCGCGGGCUGUAUAAUUGCUAAGCUCCCUAAUUCCUGGAGGAACUUUGCCACUACUCUGAAACAUCAAAGGCGUGAGUUCUCAGUAGAGGACAUCAUCGGCCAUCUGAGUGUUGAGCAGAACUCGAGAGCAAAGGACUCCAAUGGAAAAGCGGUGGAAAGCUCUUCUGCUGCCAAUAUGGUACAUCAGAGGAACUUCAAUUCUCACAAGCCCAAGGGAAAGAACUCUGUCCAACAGAAUACCGACUUCAAGAAGAAGGGGAAGAAGCCCUUCAAGAAGAAUAAGAAGGGAGAUGGCUGCUAUACUUGUGGUUCAGAGGAACAUUGGGCGAACAAAUGCCCAAACAAGUACAAGAAGCCGGCGCAGGACUCCAAGUUUGCAAACAUGAUUGUGGGCAACAAUGAAAGUGGUGCAUCUGGGUACGGAAAUUUACUUACUGUAUUUACAGUUUGUCAGUCCACCGAUUGGUGGGUGGACACGGGUGCAAAUAUUCAUGUGUGUGCUGACUUGUCAUUGUUCUCUUCUUAUCAGGCCACCGGUCGCGGGUCCGUAUUGAUGGGGAAUGGCGCGAGUGCUUCUGUUCUUGGUGUUGGCACGGUCGAUCUGAAGUUUACUUCGGGAAGGAUCGUGCAGCUGAAGAACGUGCAGCAUGUCCCCGCCAUCAAGAAGAAUCUCGUUAGUGGCUCCCUUCUGUGUAGAGAAGGGUUUAAGUUGGUGUUCGAGUCUAAUAAAGUAGUAGUUACGAAAUAUGGACUUUUUGUUGGAAAAGGUUAUGAAUGCGGAGGUGUGUUCCGCCUUUCUCUAGCAGAUUUUUGUAAUAAAGUCGUGAACAAUAUUCAUUCGAGUGUUAAUGAAUCUGAAGUUUGGCAUUCACGUCUUUGUCACAUAAGUUUCGGUGUUAUGUCGCGGGUAGCAAAACUGAAUUUAAUCCCAACUUUCACUUUAGCCAAAGGUUCUAAGUGCCACUCGUGUGUGCAAGCAAAGCAACCUCGCAAGCCUCACAAGGCUGCAGAGGAGAGACACUUGGCACCAUUAGAACUCAUACAUUCUGAUCUUUGUGAGAUGAAUGGUGUGUUGACUAAAGGUGGAAAGAAAUACUUCAUGACAUUGAUAGAUGAUUCCACUAGAUUUUGCUAUGUGUAUCUGUUAAAUACUAAAGAUGAGGCUCUACACUACUUUAAAAUCUAUAAGGCAGAAGUUGAGAAUCAACUUGAAAAGAAAAUUAAACGAGUCCGGUCUGAUCGUGGUGGAGAGUACUUCUCAAACGAAUUUGAUUCAUUUUAUGCGGAACACGGCAUUAUUCAUGAGAGGACGCCUCCCUAUUCACCCCAGUCGAACGGGGUUGCCGAGCGGAAAAACCGUACUCUAACUGAUUUGGUUAACGCCAUGUUAGAUACAUCGAGUUUAUCCAAGGCAUGGUGGGGGGAGGCUAUAUUGACCGCGUGUCAUGUCCUGAAUAAAGUUCCUACAAAAGAUAAUGAGGUCACUCCCUACGAGGAGUGGUCAAAGAGAAGGACGACACUCUCGUACUUACGUACUUGGGGCUGCUUGGCGAAAGUCAAUGUACCGAUUCCCAAGAAGCGUAAGCUUGGACCAAAGACUGUGGAUUGCGUUAAUUUGGGAUACGCUAAGAAUAGCGUAGGCUAUAGAUUUCUAGUAGUGAAAUCUGAGGUACCUGACGUGAAGGUCGGUACAAUAAUGGAGUCGAGGGAUGCUACAUUCUUUGAGGAUAUAUUUCCCAUGAGAGAUAUGCAAAGCACUUCUAGACAGGAAUCUGAGAUAACUCCUGAGCCUGCCAUUCCUAUGGAAUAUUAUGAACAAAGACAUGAUGAAAAUCCUGAGGAGGAUGACGAGGAAGCCCGUGGUAGGGGCAAGAGGCAAAGGACUGCAAAGACCUUUGGUGAUGAUUUCUUCGUAUACCUCGUGGAUGAUAAUCCCACUUCUAUUUCAGAAGCGUAUGCUUCUCCAGAUGCUGAUUACUGGAAAGCUGCGGUCCGUAGCGAGAUGGAUUCCAUCAUGGCUAACGGGACAUGGGAAAUCACUGAUCGUCCCUAUGGUUGCAAACCAUUGGGAUGCAAGUGGGUGUUCAAAAAGAAGCUUAGGCCCGAUGGUACGAUUGAAAAGUACAAGGCUAGGCUUGUGGCCAAGGGCUAUGCCCAGAAAGAAGAGGAAGAUUUCUUCGAUACUUAUUCACCUGUGGCUAGACUGACCACCAUUAGAGUACUACUCUCAUUGGCGGCCUCUCAUGGUCUUCUCGUUCAUCAAAUGGACGUUAAGACGGCUUUCCUGAAUGGAGAGCUAAAUGAGGAAAUCUAUAUGCAACAGCCAGAUGGUUUUGUGAUAGAAGGUCAGGAAGGAAAGGUGUGUAAGUUGCUGAAAUCUUUAUAUGGUCUGAGACAAGCACCUAAGCAAUGGCAUGAGAAGUUUAAUACAACUCUGACAUCUGUUGGCUUCGUUGUUAAUGAAGCUGACAAAUGUGUAUACUAUCGCCAUGGUGGGGGCGAAGGAGUUAUAUUGUGCUUGUAUGUUGAUGAUAUACUGAUAUUUGGAACCAACCUCAAAGUAAUUGAGGAGGUUAAGUCUUUUCUGUCUCAAAACUUUGAGAUGAAGGACCUUGGGGUGGCUGAUGUUAUCUUGAACAUCAAGCUGUUGAGAGAUGAUGAGGGUGGGAUUACACUUCUGCAAUCCCACUAUGUUGACAAGAUUUUGAGUCGCUUUGGAUAUUCAGACUGCAAAAUUUGUCAAACACCAUAUGAUCCUAGUGUGCUUAUUCGAAAGUUUAAAGGCACAGCUAUAGAUCAAUUGAGAUUCUCUCAAAUUAUCGGUUCACUUAUGUACCUAGCUAGCGCAACGAGGCCUGACAUCGCGUUUGCUGUGAGCAAACUUAGCCGGUUUGUUGCAAACCCGGGCGAUGUUCAUUGGCGUGCUGUUGAAAGAAUUAUGCGCUACUUGAAAGGUACUGUCAACCACGGGCUUCACUAUACGGGAUUCCCAUCGGUACUUGAAGGGUAUAGUGACGCGAAUUGGAUCUCUGAUGCUGAUGAGAUGAAGGCCACUACUGGGUAUAUGUUUACUCUUGGGGGUGGUGCUGUUUCCUGGAAGUCUUGCAAGCAAACGAUCUUAACAAGAUCGACAAUGGAAGCAGAAUUAACAGCAUUAGACACAUCUGGUGUCGAAGCAGAAUUUCUUCGAGAUCUUUUGAUGGACUUACCUGUGGUUGAGAAGCCGGUUCCGGCUAUCCUUAUGAACUGCGAUAAUCAGACGGUUAUUGUUAAAGUGAAGAGUUCAAAGGACAAUAUGAAGUCCAGCAAACAUAUAAGAAUGAGAUUGAAGGCUGUCAGACGUUUGAGAAACUCCGGAGUGAUAGCGUUGGAUUAUAUCCAAACGGCUAAGAAUCUGGCAGAUCCCUUUACUAAAGGGCUAUCACGUGUUGUGAUAGAUAGUGCAUCGAGGGAGAUGGGUAUGAGACCCACAUGAGUUGCCAUGGUAGUAACCCAACCUAUAUGAUCGGAGAUCCCGUGAAGUAGGACCUGGGAAAACAAGCCAGUGGUGAACUGAGGAGAGUAACUUUACUAACCCACUCCGUUGGAGAUGCAAUACUCUCGGAUACUGUAUGGUAGGAUGACUACUGUCUUAAUGUGUUCUAAAGCUUAUAUGUAAGCAAGAUGCUGUCCUACAGAGCGAUCUUUGGAGGAACACACCUAUAUGAGCUUGACUGCUGGUCACAGUCUAUGAGGUUUGGGUGAUCUCUAGUAAACUCAUGAAUAGGCCAGGAGUGUGACUAAUAUGCUCCACCCGAGGGGUCACCUUCGGCAGUCUAGUACUAGUAAGACUUGUGAUGAAGCUCUUUUACGCCAAGCUGACAAUUCAAGGCAUAGUCCAUUGUUCAGUAGUAAAGGAGUGUAGCUACUUGUUCUAGGUGAAGCUCAACCUUAAUAGGACUUCACUGAAAUGUUGGUAUAUUAAAACAGUGAUUGGAACGAGGGAACACGAUGUGCCCUUGAGAUCUGGUGGGGGAUUGUUGAAAUUUGGAGGUGGGCCUUAGGCCCACUAGAGAAUUUCAGAAAAUCUACAAGGGCCCAUGUAGGUGGUGGCAUGGCAAGGUGGUGGGAGUUUAGUCCCACCCCGCUAGUGCAGGAGAGUUUGGACCCCUUUAUAAGGGCCUCUCUUCCACAUGCUAUUGGAGAGUGAGAAGAGAAGGUGCCCUCGCGCACUCCUCCUCCGCCGCCCGCCACGCCACGCCUCGUCACGACGCGGGUUGCGGGUUGCGGGAAUGAGCCGAGCCGAGCUCAUACCUACGCGCUUAUUUUUGCCGGUCAGGAACGGAGAAUACGUAACGGACAAGGCAUGAUCCGAGACGUCGGAUCGUGAUCGUUACCGACUCGGACGUGGGCUUGGCCCACGUCUCUCCACCCGAGCCGCCUUUAUAAGCAUGCGAUCGCCUACCCUAGCCGUCACGAAAUCAGAUCACAUCUGCCUCACGCGUUCGUUCCUUGAACUGCUGCUGCCGCCGGCGACUCCGUCCCGUUUACCGCGUACACGGUCGACGGGAGAGCAGGCCUCCGAAACCUCGCCUCUCCGGUUCAUGUACGGGAGAGGGGCGAUUAGGUUUUUGGGGAGCGAUCACGCGACUGCUCGCCUCCGUCCGUCUGCUUCGUCUACGUCCGCGUCGCCCUCGUCAUCGCCAUGUCUUCACCAAGCGAAGCUGAUCGUCUCCGCGAGGAAGCCGAGAAGAAGACGGCAGAGGAUACUGCCUCUGCCGCCGCUGCUGCUGCUACGGCCAACUGGCCGAUUGGAGGGUAUGACUCGUUUAUCCUCUUGUUCGUGUUUAUUCUAGCAGUACUACUUGUUUGCAUAGAUGUAUCCACUAUAUGCGUAGUAUGUGCUAGGUUAGCUCAAGAUCAGUAUGUCAUUAGUCUAGUCAAUGCCAUGCUAGUUAUUGUUUUAUGGAUUAAUCUACUCGGAAAAUUGCCUAUUUACUCAACACAGGUAUCAGCGUACAUUUGGUUCUCUGUUUAUUUGUGUUCAUGGGUGUUUCUAUGCUGAUUUUGACUUCUUGGUUGUAUUGCUUCACUCACGCUCAUCAGGUGUUUGUUGUUAUGUAUCCUCCGUAUGACAGCUUAUCUUCUCUCAGAAAUAGCAGUUGGUUCGCUGUUUCGUCUCCUCAAUGAUACGUCAAGUAAUCCACUCGUAUCCAUCAAGUCACUCGGACAUCUUCCCUUCAAUCAGCACAACGUCGGCACUCGGGCAGAGAAGACAUAAGGACAAUGUGGGAGCUUUAACGUUUCAGGGGCUUGAUACCGCAAAUAAGAUGUAGUUAGGACCUCCGUUACAUGUAACUACAGCAUUAAUGGCAUCCGUUACUAGUAACUACUUCCUUCGUUACGGUUUAAAAG